UUUCCUCCGUUGCAAUACAGAUGCUGCAAUUGCAUAAAGCAAAAGAUCAUCUGUUGGUGGGGCACGCAGCCUAAUCCUACUCCAGGCAGACUUCCCAAUCCCGGCCCUAAUAGCCGCUUGGUCUGCCCACAUUACUUCCCAUAUGCAAAGUGUUUGCUCAAAAGUUAAUUCCCUCCUGAAAAUCACUACAACAAUUGGUUUAUCCCACAUUACUUCCCAUAUGCAAAGUGUUUGCUCAAAAGUUAAUUCCCUCCUGAAAAGCACUACCACCAUCCUGUACACAAAAAAGCAAUCCUCUGCUUGGAGCUUCUCCAGGUGUCGAUAGAGAUGCGAAUCCUUGUGC
rnacentral:lncRNA from 1 species